rnacentral:rRNA from 1 species
UACAGAGGUCUCAAGCGUUGUUCGGAUUCAUUGGGCGUAAAGGGUGCGUAGCCGGCGCGGUAAGUCGGGUGUGAAAUCUCGGAGCUUAACUCCGAAACUGCAUUCGAUACUGCCGUGCUUGAGGACUGGAGAGGAGACUGGAAUUUACGGUGUAGCGGUGAAAUGCGUAGAUAUCGUAAGGAAGACCAGUGGCGAAGGCGGGUCUCUGGACAGUUCCUGACGCUGAGGCACGAAGGUCAGGGGAGCAAACGGG